GAUGAACGCUGGCGGCGUGCCUAAUACAUGCAAGUCGAGCGAACAGACGAGGAGCUUGCUCCUCUGACGUUAGCGGCGGACGGGUGAGUAACACGUGGAUAACCUACCUAUAAGACUGGGAUAACUUCGGGAAACCGGAGCUAAUACCGGAUAAUAUAUUGAACCGCAUGGUUCAAUAGUGAAAGACGGUUUUGCUGUCACUUAUAGAUGGAUCCGCGCCGCAUUAGCUAGUUGGUAAGGUAACGGCUUACCAAGGCGACGAUGCGUAGCCGACCUGAGAGGGGGAUCGGCCACACUGGAACUGAGACACGGUCCAGACUCCUACGGGAGGCAGCAGUAGGGAAUCUUCCGCAAUGGGCGAAAGCCUGACGGAGCAACGCCGCGUGAGUGAUGAAGGUCUUCGGAUCGUAAAACUCUGUUAUUAGGGAAGAACAAAUGUGUAAGUAACUAUGCACGUCUUGACGGUACCUAAGCAGAAAGCCACGGCUAACUACGU
rnacentral:rRNA from 1 species